AUGGCCACGGCGCUUCGCCACGCGGCGAGGAGGUUCGGAACCAGAGCGGCGGCGGAGGCGGAGGCGGAGGCUAUCAUUGAGCGUAGUCCGCUGUACACUAGCACACGGAUCGUCGAUUCCACCACAGGCCGUGACCUCACGCCCAAUCAGAGGAAAGAUGCCAUCUUCCGCUUGGCUCAAAUCCAUGCCCAGAAAGAGGACCUCUACAACACAAUCGCUGCCUGGCAAGCUGACUACACUGCUAAGGGCAAUGUAGUGACCCGGAAAAACAACCUUUUGCUCAAACAACUCUCUCAGCAUGUCAAACCUAGACCCGAUGACCCCCGCUGGCGCUCAAGUCAGCGGGCAGUAUACUUUAAUGAUUUCCUCAAAUUCACGGGGGCAGUUUUGAUCGGCAAAAUGGCAGGAGAUGCCUUUAGUCAUUACAAGGCAAAACAAGAUCAUGAUGGCCACAAGGGAUCAAGCUAG
rnacentral:rRNA from 1 species